rnacentral:miRNA from 1 species
AAAGUCACGCCUUGUACAACGGA